rnacentral:rRNA from 1 species
GAUGAACGCUAGCUACAGGCUUAACACAUGCAAGUCGAGGGGAAACGGCAUUGAGUGCUUGCACUCUUUGGACGUCGACCGGCGCACGGGUGAGUAACGCGUAUCCAACCUUCCCAUUACUGUGGGAUAACCUGCCGAAAGGCAGACUAAUACCGCAUAGUCUUCGAUGACGGCAUCAGAUUUGAAGUAAAGAUUUAUCGGUAAUGGAUGGGGAUGCGUCUGAUUAGCUUGUUGGCGGGGUAACGGCCCACCAAGGCGACGAUCAGUAGGGGUUCUGAGAGGAAGGUCCCCCACAUUGGAACUGAGACACGGUCCAAACUCCUACGGGAGGCAGCAGUGAGGAAUAUUGGUCAAUGGGCGUAAGUCUGAACCAGCCAAGUAGCGUGCAGGAUGACGGCCCUAUGGGUUGUAAACUGCUUUUGUAUGGGGAUAAAGUUAGGGACGUGUCCCUAUUUGCAGGUACCAUACGAAUAAGGACCGGCUAAUUCCGUGCCAGCAGCCGCGGUAAUACGGAAGGUCCAGGCGUUAUCCGGAUUUAUUGGGUUUAAAGGGAGCGUAGGCUGGAGAUUAAGUGUGUUGUGAAAUGUAGACGCUCAACGUCUGACUUGCAGCGCAUACUGGUUUCCUUGAGUACGCACAACGUUGGCGGAAUUCGUCGUGUAGCGGGUGAAAUGCUUAGAUAUGACGAAGAACUCCGAUUGCGAAGGCAGCUGACGGGAGCGCAACUGACGCUUAAGCUCGAAGGUGCGGGUAUCAAACAGG